rnacentral:lncRNA from 1 species
UCAGUACACAAAAAUGAAUCCUGCAAGACUGUCUUCCCUAACACUAAAGCCUGUGUUUAUUUUCAAUUUCCUUCUAAAGGAAAUUGAUCUGUUAUGGAAAAUGACUCAAGAGAUGCAAAAAUCUAAAUGAGGAAGUUCACAAAACUCACUUCUUCAUGGUAAAUAUGAAAAGGUUUUCUUUGUUUUUAUGCAGACUAAAAUGAUGUUGUCAGCUCAGUUUGAGUUGUCAUUGGAGGAUAGUAUUUUCCUUUCAGAAUAUGCAGGGAUUGCUGGUAAUAUUACAAAUUGACUGGUGAACACAAGCUAAUGUGAUGAAUACUACUAGUAUGUGAGGUGAGUGAGGCAUGACUGGUAUUUCCUGUCCAACUUUGGAGUUUUGGAUAAAUUGUUCCAGACACUGAGGACAGUAUUGAACUAUUUAGUUUGAAAGAGAAGAUAUAUAUAUAUAUAUAUAUAUAUAUAUAUAUAUAUAUAUAUAAUAUUUUUAACUAUGGCAAAGUUGAGUUUUUUAAUGUAUAAUACAGUGUUAUAUAAUAUAUUCAAAAAUCUUCAGAAGAAUCAAACAAAGGUAUAAAAGAAAAGGCAGAAGAUUCAUAUAAAAGAGGUAAAAUAAUGCAUUAAGAACCCUGAAGAGACAUCAUAAGGAGAUAGCCUGAGAUCCCACAGAGGUCUUGAUUUAAACAGGAGAGAGGCAAGAAACUGAGAAAGAAAUUAUUACAAAAUGCCAUUGAGGUAAAACAUAAAAUGCUGCACCUGAACUGGCAACCACAACUGCUAUUUCAACUGGGAAAUAGAAUAAACAGCAAACUGAGAAGAAAAGUGGUCCAUGCUCAGCAGAUUCAGAGGCUCAGUACUGCAUGGGGCUUCAUACUUCAGACACUGGCCACCACUAAUGGAUGAUUAAUUGGUGUAUGUAUAUAUUUUUAAAAGCUUAAAUACUUUAUAUAAAUUUUUCUAAAAAUUGCUUUUUUGACUAUCUAAGUGUGUCAUGGAACAUAGACACAUAGAUAUCUGUGUUAAAACUUUUCAAAUUUUACUUUAAAAUAUUUUAUAUCUAAGGAAGAGUUAAAAAUGUAAUAUACUGAC